UGGGGAAUAUUGCACAAUGGAGGGAACUCUGAUGCAGCGACGCCGCGUGAACGAAGAAGGCUUUCGAGUCGUAAAGUUCUUUUAUAUGGGAAGAUAAUGACGGUACCAUAAGAAAAAGCCCCGGCUAACUACGUGCCAGCAGCCGCGGUAAUACGUAGGGGGCUAGCGUUGUCCGGAAUCACUGGGCGUAAAGGGUUCGCAGGCGGAAAUGCAAGUCAGGUGUAAAAGGCAGUAGCUUAACUACUGUAAGCAUUUGAAACUGCAUAUCUUGAGAAGAGUAGAGGUAAGUGGAAUUUUUAGUGUAGCGGUGAAAUGCGUAGAUAUUAAAAAGAAUACCGGUGGCGAAGACGACUUACUGGGCUCAUUCUGACGCUGAGGAACGAAAGCGUGGGUAGCAAACAGG
rnacentral:rRNA from 1 species